rnacentral:rRNA from 1 species
UACGUAGGGUGCGAGCGUUGUCCGGAAUUAUUGGGCGUAAAGCGCGUGUAGGCGGCUUUGCAAGUCGGGUGUGAAAGCCCUCAGCUCAACUGAGGAAGUGCGCCCGAAACUGCAGAGCUUGAGUGCCGGAGAGGGUGGCGGAAUUCCCCAAGUAGAGGUGAAAUUCGUAGAUAUGGGGAGGAACACCGGUGGCGAAGGCGGCCACCUGGACGGUUACUGACGCUGAGACGCGAAAGCGUGGGGAGCAAACAGG